UUGAAUAAACCUGGUGGGUUGUCGCUGGCUUCUCGGAGCAUGUGCACACCCGCCAUCUUUAUCUAUCCCACCUGUGCACCAUUUGUAGUCUUUGGGAGAUGAAAGCGGCUAAGCCUCGAUUGGCUUCUGGCCUUUGGGCUGGUGCGUGCCUGCCAGAGACCCUUCAAACUCUGGUUUAUCUAGUGUUGUCUGAGUACCAUGCAAAUCGUUAA
rnacentral:misc_RNA from 1 species